rnacentral:rRNA from 1 species
GACGAACGCUGGCGGCGUGCUUAACACAUGCAAGUCGAACGGUAAGGCUCCAGCUUGCUGGGGUACACGAGUGGCGAACGGGUGAGUAACACGUGGGUGACCUGCCCUGCACUUCGGGAUAAGCCUGGGAAACUGGGUCUAAUACCGGAUAGGACCAUGGUGUGGAUACUGUGGUGGAAAGUUUUUUCGGUGUGGGAUGGGCCCGCGGCCUAUCAGCUUGUUGGUGGGGUAAUGGCCUACCAAGGCGGCGACGGGUAGCCGGCCUGAGAGGGUGGACGGCCACAUUGGGACUGAGACACAGCCCAGACUCCUACGGGAGGCAGCAGUGGGGAAUAUUGCACAAUGGGCGGAAGCCUGAUGCAGCGACGCCGCGUGGGGGAUGACGGCCUUCGGGUUGUAAACUCCUCUCACCAUCGACGAAGGGUUUCUGACGGUAGAUGGAGAAGAAGCACCGGCUAACUACGUG